AUAUUGGACAAUGGGGGAAACCCUGAUCCAGCGACGCCGCGUGGGUGAAGAAGGCCUGCGGGUUGUAAAGCCCUUUCGGUAGGGACGAAAGCUCUCGACCUAACACGUCGGGAGGUUGACUUAACCUACAAAAGAAGCACCGGCUAACUCUGUGCCAGCAGCCGCGGUAAUACAGAGGGUGCGAGCGUUAAUCGGAACUACUGGGCGUAAAGCGCACGUAGGCGGCUUGGUAUGUCGGGUGUGAAAUCCCCGGGCUCAACCUGGGAACUGCAUCCGAAACUGCCUUGCUUGAGUAUGGGAGAGGGAAGUGGAAUUUCCGGUGUAGCGGUGAAAUGCGUAGAUAUCGGAAGGAACAUCAGUGGCGAAGGCGACUUCCUGGACCAAUACUGACGCUCAGGUGCGAAAGCGUGGGGAGCAAACAGG
rnacentral:rRNA from 1 species